rnacentral:lncRNA from 1 species
GUCCAACCUGUGAUCGAAGGAUCAGAAGCACCUGCGCAAAACAAAAACAAACCUUAGAAUAAAAUGCCAAAAAACAAACCAAUCUGUUGAACAAAAAAGAAGAAACUCACCGGGACCAAGAACAUCAGCAGGCGAAGGCCUACUUGCCAACGCAGAAGGCGCAGGCUCACGCCGCGGAGGAACAGCAAGUCCUUCCUGCGCAACGCUGGCGCCUUUGGCCAAUUCCUCCGCAGUAGCCAACCCAGCAAAAACAUCCUCUGAAAGAAAUAUAAACAACAUGAGACCAAGUCAAUAAAAAAAUUACAUAAAGAAAAACAAGAAUCAACAAAAAAUUUACCCAUGUACAACGAGUUUAUACCAUCUCCAGCCGGACGCGGGAGAUCCUCCGCCCUCUUAAUCCUCCGAACAGAGACUGACUCUGCCUCAUCACUGGAUUCCCCUUGCCCAUCCUUCGGCGGAGAUCCUCCUCCAGCCAAAGCCUCCCGCGCAGGACUCUCAGCCACCGCAGGAUUCGCCUCACGCGCAGGACUCGCCUCAGGGAC